AUUGCUUCUCAGCCUUUUGGCUAAGAUCAAGUGUAGUAUCUGUUCUUAUCAGUUUAAUAUAUGAUACAUCCUCUGUCUGAGGACAAUAUAUUAAAUGAAUUUUUGGAGCUCGGAGUUGUAAUAGGAACUUGCUCCGUCCACUCCACACAUUGACCUGGUAUUGCAGUACCUCUAGGAACGGUGUACCCCCU
ensembl:snRNA U2 U2 spliceosomal RNA